AAUUCCCCAUUUGGUUCCGCUCUCUGGUGCAAACCCUAGACUGCCUGAGCCACCAUGUCCGCCUCAUCGUCCUCCUCUCUCCCUGUGCCAGCCGAUUUCCCUCUUGAUCUCAUCAGGUGUCCCUUCUGCGGCGCGGAUCUGGAAACCAAUGUAGGAAGAACCGGGAGUAGGGCGGGGUAGCGGUUCUACAAGUGUGUCUGCUAUGAUGCUUGCGAGUGUAGGUUCUUUGAAUUCCAGACGGCCUACGUCAGAAGGAUGACUCCGUACCAGAUCGCCCGUGCUCAGCAGCAAGCGGGGGUGCUCCAGGUCCAAAUGCAGGCAAACCCUGCCGGCAUCGUCGCUCCACCUGCGAACCAGGCUCAGGUCCAGGCGAACCAUGGUCAGAAUCACCUUCCGGCGGCGCCGGAGGCCGUUCUGGUGAACCAGAUCUUCAGGCCCGUCGCAGUUGCUGCUUUUGGUUCUCAGGCGCUGGGGGCAGCAGCUUUCAUCCUUGCCGCUAGCAACAUCAUGCUCACUCUACUGGUUCUGUUGUUCGUUGUGGCCAUCUAUUUUGGCGGCGGCAACUAGUUUGUUCUUAGUACGACGUACGUUGACAUUUCGGCAAGGGUUCUUAGUACAAGUGUGUGUGUGAUGCUCGACUGCGGAUUUGGUCGGUCCUAGUUUGCCUUAGGCAAUAUGAUUAGGCAAUUAAUGGUGUUCAAGGGUGGCUCCCUUUACCUCUAAGCCUGUUUACCAGAAAAUGUAAUUCGUGCUCUAAUGUAACGCACUAUCUGGAACUAAUGAAGCUUGGCUGUGUUAGUUAAU